rnacentral:rRNA from 1 species
GAACGCUGGCGGCAUGCCUUACACAUGCAAGUCGAACGGCAGCACGGGAGCUUGCUCCUGGUGGCGAGUGGCGAACGGGUGAGUAAUACAUCGGAACGUACCCUGAAGUGGGGGAUAACGUAGCGAAAGUUACGCUAAUACCGCAUAUUCUGUGAGCAGGAAAGAGGGGGAUCGCAAGACCUCUUGCUUUAGGAGCGGCCGAUGUCGGAUUAGCUAGUUGGUGAGGUAAAGGCUCACCAAGGCGACGAUCCGUAGCGGGUCUGAGAGGAUGAUCCGCCACACUGGGACUGAGACACGGCCCAGACUCCUACGGGAGGCAGCAGUGGGGAAUUUUGGACAAUGGGCGCAAGCCUGAUCCAGCCAUGCCGCGUGAGUGAAGAAGGCCUUCGGGUUGUAAAGCUCUUUCGGUGGGAAGAAAUUGCACAGGAUAAUACCUUGUGUAGAUGACGGUACCCGCAUAAGAAGCACCGGCUAACUACGUG